rnacentral:tRNA from 1 species
GGGCCGGUAGCUCAGUUGGUAGAGCAAUACACUUUUAAUGUAUGGGUCGCGGGUUCGACUCCCGCCCGGCUCACCA